AGACAGAUCAGCAUUACAAAAGCAUUUUUGGCAAGCAGCUGUUGAUACCACAAAUACGACUUUGUGCAUCGACAGAGUAAUCAUAAAUGGCCGCUCAGCAUCAGUUGCAUGUACCAUUCUGAGGGCUUGUGGAUUUUAAGGACGGAGAUACAUAUAUUACAUUCCGGAUCACCAAAACCGAAACCCUCUUACAACACGUCAGAUCGCCAUCGGAAUUUAAGAGCGCCACGAUAUUCCUUUGCAACCGAAGGCACAUCGCUCAAUUAGUCAGAAAGCAUGACCGUGACAACGAUGUCAAAACAGUCUACUACUGUAAAUUAUGCUUCAAUUACAUACUAAUGCGCCGCUGUGCUAUGCUCUGCGUUGUUGCGACGACUCCAGUUUCUUCUCAUGUAUUCCUCGGUGUGAGAGCGCCGCAUCCCAGGGCGACGGAGGUCCAUACGCGGUGUUGAUGUUGACAUUAUUCACACGUUAUUCCACCGACCAAGUUGCCCAGCAGGCCGCACGCACACGACCUGCGAGGAA
rnacentral:lncRNA from 1 species